UGGGGGCGUGCCUAACACAUGCAAGUCGAACGGACUUACAUUGAAGCCUAGCGAUAUGUAAGUUAGUGGCGGACGGGUGAGUAACGCGUGGGUAACCUGCCUUGUACUGGGGGACAACAGUUGGAAACGACUGCUAAUACCGCAUAAGCGCACAGCUUCGCAUGAAGCAGUGUGAAAAACUCCGGUGGUACAAGAUGGACCCGCGUCUGAUUAGCUGGUUGGUGAGGUAACGGCCCACCAAGGCGACGAUCAGUAGCCGGCCUGAGAGGGUGAACGGCCACAUUGGGACUGAGACACGGCCCAAACUCCUACGGGAGGCAGCAGUGGGGAAUAUUGCACAAUGGGGGAAACCCUGAUGCAGCAACGCCGCGUGAGUGAAGAAGUAUUUCGGUAUGUAAAGCUCUAUCAGCAGGAAAGAAAAUGACGGUACCUGACUAAGAAGCCCCGGCUAACUACGUGCCAGCAGCCGCGGUAAUACGUAGGGGGCAAGCGUUAUCCGGAUUUACUGGGUGUAAAGGGAGCGUAGACGGUUUUGCAAGUCUGAAGUGAAAGCCCGGGGCUUAACCCCGGGACUGCUUUGGAAACUGUAGAACUAGAGUGCAGGAGAGGUAAGUGGAAUUCCUAGUGUAGCGGUGAAAUGCGUAGAUAUUAGGAGGAACACCAGUGGCGAAGGCGGCUUACUGGACUGUAACUGACGUUGAGGCUCGAAAGCGUGGGGAGCAAAC
rnacentral:rRNA from 1 species